AUGGACCCAGAACAUCUCCUAAAGAUGAAGGCUGUCUGUUAUUUACCCACUCUCCUCUGGGCGGAGCAGGAGCUGCCCAAGGGAGAAGAAUCGCCAGUGUUUUACUUACAGCUCUACUCCAAGUGCCUGGACAGCGGUCGGCGUGUGACAAGAGCCCACACUGGUGGAGCAAAUCCACCCCACUACCCAGACUCCAGGCUCUGUACCUGAGGUGGCAGAGGGAUGCUGAAGGCAGGAGAGGGAAGGACCACACCGGCAGUAGCUCUCAGGUCCUUUCCCUGGGCAUGCCCCCUUGGGGAUGGCACAGGACUUGACCAAAAUGUAACUAAUGAGCUUCCCACCCAAGCAGCGCUUCUCCUAGGAUUCAUGCUUGCAGGGAAAGGUUGACUAGAGCCACCACCUACUGAGUUAUCUGCUCUGAAAAGCCAGGUGUCCUGGCCACUCCCGCCUCCGGGUCUGUUACCUGCAUCCCCUCCCUGGCCAUACUCUUGGCUCAGCCCCACCUCUGGCUUCCUUUAUACAAUCAGUUGCUCCCUGCUCCCACUACCAUCCUUCCUUCUUUUCCAUCUUCA
rnacentral:lncRNA from 1 species